rnacentral:rRNA from 1 species
UACGUAGGGGGCUAGCGUUGUCCGGAUUUAUUGGGCGUAAAGAGCGUGUAGGCGGCCAUGUAGGUCCGGUGUGAAAACUCGAGGCUUAACCUCGAGAUGUCAUCGGAAACCAUUUGGCUAGAGUCCGGAAGAGGAGAGUGGAAUUCCUGGUGUAGCGGUGAAAUGCGUAGAUAUCAGGAGGAACACCGGUGGUGUAGACGGCUCUCUGGACCGUAACUGACGCUGAGACACGAAAGCGUGGGUAGCAAACAGG